GGUAUUAGGUUGGUGCAAAAGUAAACAUGGUUUUUGCCAUUACUUUGAAUUACUUUGAAUGGCAAAAACCGCAGUUACUUUUGCGUCAACCUAAUACCUUUCU
rnacentral:miRNA from 1 species